rnacentral:rRNA from 1 species
ACGUACCUACGGGGCGCAGCAGUAGGGAAUUUUCGUCAAUGGGCGCAAGCCUGAACGAGCAAUGCCGCGUGAACGAGGAAGGUCUUCGGAUCGUAAAGUUCUGUUGAAGGGGAAAAAGAGCGGAGAGAGGAAAUGGUCUCCGAUUGAUUUUACCCUUCGCGGAAGUCACGGCUAACUACGUGCCAGCAGCCGCGGUAAUACGUAGGUGGCGAGCGUUAUCCGGAAUGAUUGGGCGUAAAGGGUACGUAGGCGGCCUGCUAAGUCUGGAGUGAAAGGUACCGGCUCAACCGGUACCGGCCCUGGAA